rnacentral:rRNA from 1 species
ACGAACGCUGGCGGCAGGCUUAACACAUGCAAGUCGAGCGCCCCGCACGGGGAGCGGCAGCCGGGUGAGUAACGCGUGGGCACGUACCUUUUGGUUCGGAACAACUCCGGGAAACUGGAGCUAAUACCGGAUAAGCCCUAACGGGGAAAGAUUUAUCGCCGAAAGAUCGGCCCGCGUCUGAUUAGCUAGUUGGUGAGGUAACGGCUCACCAAGGCGACGAUCAGUAGCUGGUCUGAGAGGAUGAUCAGCCACACUGGGACUGAGACACGGCCCAGACUCCUACGGGAGGCAGCAGUGGGGAAUAUUGGACAAUGGGCGCAAGCCUGAUCCAGCCAUGCCGCGUGAGUGAUGAAGGCCUUAGGGUUGUAAAGCUCUUUUGUCCGGGAAGAUAAUGACUGUACCGGAAGAAUAAGCCCCGGCUAACUUCGUG